rnacentral:lncRNA from 1 species
AUCAGUUAUUAUCUUUUACCAAACAAGUUAGCCCAAAAUUUCAAACAGGUUAAAAAAUUACAAUUUCUUUCUAAGGCCCAAAAGAAAAGAAAAGAGAAAGGCCCGCCCAUUAAAAGGAAAACCCACCAAGGGAGAGUCUCUUGGACUCCUGUGAUCGGAAUUGUUAGUAGUAAAUAUUUAAUUUUAAAGCUUAUUAUCACAAAACGUUCCUAAAGUUUACGAAACUAUCAUAUUGCAUCUUUAAUGUUUUUUUGUGUCACUUAUGGUCUUCAAGGUUAGUAUGUGCAAUCACAAAUGGUCCAUGCCGUUAGGUUCUGUCAAAAACUCUGUUAGUUUGCUGACUUGGCAUACAUAUAUAUUACAAAACAUCCAUGAGGUUUAC